rnacentral:rRNA from 1 species
GAGUUUGAUCAUGGCUCAGAUUGAACGCUGGCGGCAGGCCUAACACAUGCAAGUCGAGCGGUAGAGAGAAGCUUGCUUCUCUUGAGAGCGGCGGACGGGUGAGUAAUGCCUAGGAAUCUGCCUGGUAGUGGGGGAUAACGCUCGGAAACGGACGCUAAUACCGCAUACGUCCUACGGGAGAAAGCAGGGGACCUUCGGGCCUUGCGCUAUCAGAUGAGCCUAGGUCGGAUUAGCUAGUUGGUGAGGUAAUGGCUCACCAAGGCGACGAUCCGUAACUGGUCUGAGAGGAUGAUCAGUCACACUGGAACUGAGACACGGUCCAGACUCCUACGGGAGGCAGCAGUGGGGGAAUAUUGGACAAUGGGCGAAAGCCUGAUCCAGCCAUGCCGCGUGUGUGAAGAAGGUCUUCGGAUUGUAAAGCACUUUAAGUUGGGAGGAAGGGCAGUAAAUUAAUACUUUGCUGUUUUGACGUUACCGACAGAAUAAGCACCGGCUAACUCUGUGCCAGCCG